rnacentral:lncRNA from 1 species
CUGGGGUAUAUGAUUAGUCUGGCUAUAAGCUAAGUUCAAACAAUUAGAAGUUUCUUCAUUCUAUGAUUUCACAUUUCAUCCAUCAUCGUAUUAUCAGCAAGAAGAAGAUGAUAGAGAUCUUGCUUGCGAUUUUUGUUUGCUAUAGGUUUAUGGUUCAUGAUCAGCAGUUCAGUUCUUACACAACAUAUUGGUUCUGUAAUGGGCUCUCACUUACUCUUAACUUGUAAUUGCAGGUUAUAUCCCACUAUGUCGAGGAGACUUUCAUAAUCAUGAUCCCCAUUACCUGACCUACACUGAUGACUGAUGAUGACUCUGACAUGAAGUUUGAAGCUUCUGAUAUCAAAACUACAAGCCAGACAAGAAAGACUCUAGUGUUUCAUGCUUCAAGAACUUGAUCAGUUUCAAUAAUUACGAAGCACCAACUCCGGAUUCUUACAGCCAGUUUCAAGAAUUACAAAGCAACAACUCCGGAUUCAUACAGCACUGGAACUGAAUCUAAACGAAUGCAUAUGCUGAGAUGAGGUGUUCACAUGAUUGUACCAACUGAAUCAAUGAAAAACUAUUUAUCUAUACUUGCAGCUUCAGCUUAUCAAAUUGACUACUUUUUCGCUGCUUUAUCUUCUCUAUGC